rnacentral:rRNA from 1 species
CCUACGGGAGGCAGCAGUGGGGAAUAUUGCACAAUGGGGGAAACCCUGAUGCAGCGACGCCGCGUGAGUGAAGAAGUAUCUCGGUACGUAAAGCUCUAUCAGCAGGGGAGAAAAUGACGGUACCUGACUCCGAAGCACCGGCUAACUACGUGCCAGCAGCCGCGGUAAUACGUAGGGGGCAAGCGUUAUCCGGAUUUACUGGGGGUAAAGGGAGCGUAGACGGCAGUACAAGUCUGGAGUGAAAUCCCGGGGCUUAACCCCGGAACUGCCUUGGAAACUGUGCGGCUGGAGUGAAGGAGGGGUAAGCGGAAUGCCUGGUGUAGCGGUGAAAUGCGUAGAUAUUAGGAGGAACACCGGUGGCGAAGGCAGCUUACUGG